AGUCCUGUGGCGCAGUGGUAGCGCGCCGUUCUUAUAUGGCUCGUCAGAUUCAUAUGACCUCAUUCUGGUAAUGCGGAUGCCGCGGGUUCGAGUCCCGCCAGGACUA